rnacentral:rRNA from 1 species
GAGAGCGGCGGACGGGUGAGUAAUGCCUAGGAAUCUGCCUGGUAGUGGGGGAUAACGCUCGGAAACGGACGCUAAUACCGCAUACGUCCUACGGGAGAAAGCAGGGGACCUUCGGGCCUUGCGCUAUCAGAUGAGCCUAGGUCGGAUUAGCUAGUUGGUGAGGUAAUGGCUCACCAAGGCGACGAUCCGUAACUGGUCUGAGAGGAUGAUCAGUCACACUGGAACUGAGACACGGUCCAGACUCCUACGGGAGGCAGCAGUGGGGAAUAUUGGACAAUGGGCGAAAGCCUGAUCCAGCCAUGCCGCGUGUGUGAAGAAGGUCUUCGGAUUGUAAAGCACUUUAAGUUGGGAGGAAGGGCAGUUACCUAAUACGUAAUUGUUUUGACGUUACCGACAGAAUAAGCACCGGCUAACUCUGUGCCAGCAGCCGCGGUAAUACAGAGGGUGCAAGCGUUAAUCGGAAUUACUGGGCGUAAAGCGCGCGUAGGUGGUUCGUUAAGUUGGAUGUGAAAGCCCCGGGCUCAACCUGGGAACUGCAUUCAAAACUGACGAGCUAGAGUAUGGUAGAGGGUGGUGGAAUUUCCUGUGUAGCGGUGAAAUGCGUAGAUAUAGGAAGGAACACCAGUGGCGAAA